UUUCCUUCACUUCUCUUGGGUGUUAUUGGGAGGAGGUGGUACCUGGUGAAGAACAAAUUGACAGCGCAUACAAACGGGAUUUAAGCAGUACACCAGAGGAGAACAGUGAGUCAUCCUCCGAAGGUCAGCAAAUGGCUACCCUGUUUACUGAGCUUUCAUGCCCACCAAGGUUCUCGAUCCCAGCUUCCACUCCAACCCCUGUGGUUCAGUAGUCUGCAGGGCAGGGCCAGAGGGCAGCUGCAUCAAGACUUGCAUCAGGCCAGCCAUGCUAAAAGUUUACUGAAGACCACACGGGGCUAAACAUCACCGACUGAGGGAGGCGGGGGCUGCAUAGGGCUUAAAGGAAGACAAGCCUGGCUGCACCUCUACAAACUUUAAACAUAAAGCUGGC